rnacentral:snRNA from 1 species
CUGGCUUUGGCGGGACAUGCUAAAACUGGAACAAUGCAUGGAUUGGGAUGGUUCCUACACAAGAAUGACAGGUGAAUGUGUAAGGUGUUCCAUCUUCUU